rnacentral:rRNA from 1 species
UACGUAGGGUGCAAGCGUUGUCCGGAAUUAUUGGGCGUAAAGAGCUCGUAGGCGGUUUGUUGCGUCGGCUGUGAAAUCCCGAGGCUCGACCUCGGGUCUGCAGUCGAUACGAGCAAACUAGAGUGUUGCAGGGGAGACUGGAAUUCCUGGAGUAGCGGUGAAAUGCGCAGAUAUCAGGAGGAACACCGGUGGCGAAGGCGGGUCUCUGGGCAACAACUGACGCUGAGGAGCGAAAGCGUGGGGAGCGAACAGG